rnacentral:lncRNA from 1 species
CUGGAUCUGCUAAAUCUUUAUUAGUGGGUACAUGAUCCACUCUAAUAGCUCCUUUAGAUAUAUAAUCUCUAACAGUAUUGUGAUUUCUUCUUAUUUUUCGUCUCUUACCAUAAUAAUAAUUGUUCUCAAAUUUUGCAAUAGCCGCGAUACUAUCGCAGUGGAUCAACACAACUGGAAUAGAUUUUAUCCACAAAGGGAUCUCAACUAUCAAACAUAUUAACUAACUUGCUUCUUUGAUUUCCAAAAUACAUUCCCUUCAACUAUACUGAAUAUAUAACCAUUAGUUGCUUUAGAAUCAUUAAUUAAGGUGUUUCAAUUUUGCAACAUUAUAUCAUUCAAGUACAUAAGAAAAUCUCUAAUAAUGUAGACUGAUAUUCAUGUCCUUUUAAGGUAAUACAUGACUUUCUCAAUAGCUUGUCAAUUCUCAUUACUCAUUUUACUAAAUAAACCAGCACAAUAAUCAUACUACAUAUGUAAUGUCGGGUUUAGUACAAUUAAUGACAUACCUAUGACUACCAAUGAUGCCCGCAUACUCUUUUGUCCAAGUCUAUCACCAGUGUUCUUAGACAAUUUUACACUUUGAUCGUACGAUAUGCAAGUAGGUAUACAUCCAGAGUAGUUAUUUUUAUUUAAGAUCUUCUCCAUAUAGUGAGAAUAAUCCAAAGAAAUUCCUCGUCCAUAUCAAGUGAUCUUGAUACCAAGAAUCGCACUGACUUCUUUGAGGCAUUUCAUAUUAAUUUUUUUGCACAUCAAUAACGGCAUGAAGAUUUGAUCAAAAUUUGAGUAAUUCGUCUACAUAGAGACAUAUGAUAGUGCAAAUGUUAUUUUCAAACUUGUAAUAAACACAUUUGUCACUUUCAUUCACUUUGUAUCCAUUAGAUAUCAUUAAGUUGUCAAAUGUUUCAUGUCAUUGCUUUGGAGCUUGUUUUAGCUCAUACAGAAACUUAUCUAACUUACACACCUUAUUUUCUUACCCAUGAAUCACAAACCCUUCUGGUUGAUCCAUAUAUAACUAUUCUUCAAGUCAUUGUUUAAGAAAGCUAUUUUAACAUCAAUUUGGUGUACUAUUAAGUUAUAAAUAACAACAAUUGAAAUCAGUACCCUAAUGGAUGUAAUUCUAGUGAUUGGAGAAAAAGUAUCAAAGAAAUUUAUAUUCUCUCUUUGCCUAAAACCUUUGGCUACAGACCAACCUUGUACUUAUCAACUAUUCCAUCAGGUUUUAGUUUCUUUUUCAAAACUCAUUUACAACUGAUUGGUUUGAAACCGAGAGGCAGUUCUACUAAGUUUUGGGUUCUGUUAGAUUAUAGAGAAUCUACCUCACCAUUAAUAACUUCUUUCCACAAAUCUGCAUUUAGAGAUGACAUGGCUUCUUGAAUAUUUGUUGGAUCUUCUUCUAUUGUAUAGACUGCAUAAUCAGGCUCAUAAUCUUUAGAAACUCUUACUCUUUUACUCUAUUAAAGUUUUGUUUCUACUUCAUCAUGGCUUUUGAUGCUUCUUAUUAUAGGAAUGUGAUUCAAUUCAAUACCCUCACUAUUUCUCGAUUUGAAAGGAAAAUUUUCUUCAUAGAAUUCAACAUCAUUUGAUUCCAUUAUCACUUUAACAUUUAGGUCACAACACCUAUAUGCCUUACUAUUUGCUGCAUACACAUUGAAUCCACAUUCAUAGACUCUACUAGCGAGUUUAACUCAUAUCGAAUCCGAAAUUCUGACGUAAGUCAGACAAGCCCAAGUUCUAAAGUAAAACUAGUUUGGUUGUAUCUUCUUUAAUAUCUCAUAAGGUUAGAUCUUACUUUUAGACUUGGAAACUCUAUUUAGGACCUAUCAAACAAUCAAUAAAAUUUCCUCUAUUAGUGCGAUGCAACACUAGAAUUCAACAUAAUAGCAACGACUAGUUCAGUAAGAUUUCUAUUCUUUCUCUCUGUUUUACCAUUCAUUUCAGGAGAAUAUGGUGCAGUCACUUCAUGUAAAAUUCCUUGUUUUUUUAUAAAAUUCAUUGAAAUAAAAUGGAUUUUUAUUCAAUUCCCUAUCAUUACAAAAACUUUUUAAUUUUCUUACUAAGUUGAUUUUCAAUUUCAUUCACAAAAGCAUUAAACAUAUCAAUCACUUCACUUUCAUUCUUACAUAAUUGAUUUUCAAUAUCAUUCAUAAAAAGCUUUAAAAUAUCAAUUUUACAAAAAUAUUAUUCUUAGUGAUGGUGUACAAAUCUACCUCAAUAGCUAAUAAAACCUUGCCUUAUUCAGAAGAAACCAAUAAACAAGAAUAUUUCUAAUCUGGUAAGUAUGCAUGAAAUCCUUCAAUAUUUAAGUCUUUUUGGAGAUGGACUUCAACUCCAUUUCUCCAGUUUCAAAAACAUUAAUGGUGUGGGCAACUCCCAACAACACUUGCUUAUUUUCAGUAUUUGUGUAUGCGUCAAACAUUGCAUGAUCAUAACAAACAUGUGGACAUGAGUCAAUGUAUAUCUACCAACCAUGUUGAUUUUAGUGAUCAUAGCAAUAAAUUUCUCAACAGUCAGGUUAAUCUAUGCAUUUGGAGAAGAACUAAGUUUAGGCUUGUUGUUACAUUUCUUAUCUACGUGACUUGGUUUUCCAUAAUUAAAGCAAUAAAAAACAACAAUUUCAUUUCUCUAUGGUGGUAGUUGUUGCAUAGAAAUUGGAGUAAUUGGGGUCUUGAAGGGUUCCCAUUCUUAAUUAGGUUCACAACAUUGUGGUUCUGUUUCUUUAAUGGUUUUCCAAAUGGCUUCAAAACCGCAACAGACUUCUUUUUUGUUGUUUCAAACAACUAAGACUUUUUCUUUUUAAUCUUGUCCCUGAUAUUCUUAUUCAAUUCAAGGGCGAAUAAUCAAACUCUCAAUUGAAAAUUAUUUGGUUUUGAGGCGAAAAAAUACUUUAAAAAUCUACCAACUAAGGGGAAGUUUGUCAAUAAUAACAAUAAUUUAAAAUUGUUCAUAUAAAUGCAUACCUUCAGUGAUGAUAUUGUGAACAAUCUUUUGAAGUUUGUGAUAUUAAGCUUCUGUGAAUCUUUCAUCUACCAUCUGAUACCUUAGGCUGCGGCUAACAACAUACUUCUUUGCUCCAACUUCUUAAGUAUCAUACUUCUUUUUCAUAGCCUUCUCAACCUGUUUUGUGGUAUCUCGGUUAUGUGAUAAUCAUACAGAUCGUCUAUGAGUCUAUUCAGAAAGUGGUUUUUCCAGAGAUAGCCAUUCUCUUUCCAUGGGGUGAUUUCUUUCCUGAGAUGUAAAUUGUUUGAUUUAAUCUAUGCAUUAGAUUCAACUUCACCAAAGUUAAGUGUUCCAUAUGAAUCCACAGAUUUCUUAUUGUUAGUUUGCUCGGUUGACUUAGAAGGAACAACGAGAAUGCCAUUGGUCAGAACAUUGGCAACCUUUUUCAACAUUAAGAAUAACUUCAUCUUUUGUUGCCACCAUUUGAAUUGACUUUACUCAAACUUGAACGGUUUGUCAGAGAUUGCAUUCGUAGAAGGACUAAUAAUUUAUUCGGUAGCCAUGGAAAUUUGAAACAUCUUAAAAAAUUUAUUUUACAGUUUUGAAAAAACUUUCCCAUGAAAAUAUUAUCAGUUCGAGUCUCAUACUAGGUUUCUUUCUUUAAGAUGAUUCGUGACACUACUCAAAGUUGUGUAAAACAAUCACUCAACCAUGGUGCCUCCAAGAUAAAACAAACCAAUUCUAUAUUUGUAUUAUUACUACUUACACAGUAGAUAGUCAUUCUAGAAAUACACCCUUAGAUGGUACAAAUACCAGUCGAAUAUGGUAUAAUUACCACUUGUGGUAUAUGGUAUAAUGACCAGUUAUUAUAUGAACUUAUAUUCUCCAGAUGGAAAGAUGUCAGACACAGGCACAAUGUGUAUGAAAAGAUAAUUACAUAGUAGACAUAAUAAAUGAAAAAUAUAUAUAACAUAAGAAUUGGUAACCCAGUUCGGUGAAAAUCACCUACGUCUGGAGGGAGUUAACCCAAUGAAAGGAAAUUCACUCUUAAUAGUCCUAGGAGCUAGAUUUGUUGGAAGCUCCGGAAAUGGUUGAAGAAUUUGACAUCUCCAUGAUGAGGUAUUACCCUGAUUAAAAUGGUGAUUACUUCUACUUGGAGAAAUCCAAGAGGAGAGUGUAUGAAGAUAGGUUUGUGAAAGCUAAGAAGAAGAAUAUGGUAUAAAUACCAGUCGAAUAUGGUAUAAUUACUGUAGCGGUAAAUUCAUGACCAUCAAGCUAUGGAUAAGCUUAACGUCAAUAAAACCAGAAUCGCCAUCACGCUUUUAUUGUUUCCAAAGGAAAAGAGAAAAGUACGAACAAAACCCAAAGUAAAUGACUCAAAUGAGCAAAGUGAAAAUGACAUAAACAUAAACAAAUUAAAUGAAAUGUAAAUGGAAAAUGAAUGAUAAAUGACUGAAAUUUAAAUUGCAUAAAGUAAAUGACUUGAAAGUAAAGCAAUAUUAACAAGAGUUAUUCAAAUGUUAGUUAAAGGUUAAUGGUGUUUUGCUUUUUAAUUAAUUAAGUCAUUCUUUGGAGAACACUCAAUCCUUCAUUCACAAGUGUGGAUCCUUGAACCAAUACAUCUUCCAUGAGAAGGGCUCCAACUUGGAUCAUUCACAAGUAUGUCACUAGCUCCCAUGAAAGGAAAAAAGGUCAAGUCUCCAAACAAUGCCAUGAAGAAGGGGAGACUUACAAUCUCACUUACUAGAAUGAUAUUCCUUGAGGGUCAAAUUUAACACUAUGUUAAGCAAUCGUAAUUGGACUUAUGUAGAAGUCACAACUAUCUGAGGUCGGGCAAUAAUAAUUUAGGUGUUAAUGCAUGUUAGAGAUUUGGUAUAAUGAAUCAAACUCCUAAAACAUACCACACACUAAAAUAAAAGAUCAAGAGGGAUGUACCUAUCUCAUCCAUACUUGUAUUGGUUCAUCUGACACAAGGUCAUUGACGAACCAAUUAGCCUUAGGAUAUUUGAGAUUUCCUUGGUCAAUGAAAGGAAUGAGAGAGACUAGGGAUGAAGAUGAAAGGGGAGGGGAGUGAGAGAAACACAAAUUGGUCAUGGGAGGAAUUUUAUCAAAUUAAAAUCAUUCAUUCAUUUUGGGAGAAGAAAUGUACAUUUCAUCAAUCCCCUAAAUCCAAUGAUUUUAAUCCAAUAAAAGUCAAAUCAACCUUGACCAAGACCCAAACAAAUAGUAAAACAUCACAAGACCAUAAAAAUGGCUAAACAUAAUUUUUACACAUUUUAUCAAUAAAAAAUCAAGUUAAAAAUGCAUUAAAAUAUAAUUUAAUUUGGUAAAAACCUAAAAUCUCUUCAAAACACCAAAUAAAUGGCCAAGAGAUUUAUCCUAGGUCAAACAAGGUCAAAAGACCUUAGACAAAAAUUUUCAUGAUUUUUGAAAAGUCAGAGGUAUUUUUAAACAAUUAAAAAUAUGUACAAAAACAUUUAAUUCAUAAAAAAUAUCAAAAUUAAUCCAAAAAAAUAAUUUUAACUCAGAAAAUGAAAGAAAAAAAUAUUUAAAGAUUUUUGGUGAAAGUCCCAUAUUUUUUGGACUAAAAAUGAAAUUAAUAUGAAUUAAACAAAAUAAAAGGAUUAAACAUAAAAUCAAAAAAUCAAAAAAACAAGGGCCAUCAGAUCUCCCUCAUUAAUUGAGGUGGAAGAUCUGAUGGCCAAAAGCGUGUAUUCCACCAACAUUUGAGUCAAACGCGUGACACGGUUGGUAAUCAAAAUAGAAGGCUAAGAUUAAAACGUAAGAUCAGGAUCUAAUGGCUUUGGACACACCAACUCAUCACCGGAGCCCUAGCUCUGGUCUUCUUCUCCGGUGGACCUCACCGGACUGGUCCACCACCAACCACCAUGGAAAUUAAAAACAAGGACAUAGAUUUGAAGAAAAAAUGCCCAGGAGCUCGAAUCUGGCCUUAAUUUCUCCAAUUCCAAGUAUAUCAAGAGAUACAGGGAUUUGAAUUUUGAGGAUUAUGAACCGAGUUGCUUCGAUUUGACCUCAAAGAAACUCAAUUUUGUUGCCUACAUUGGUAGGACUUCAGCCAACCAAAAAUCACAAAGAAUAGUGAAGAAUUGAGAGAGAAUCGAAGAGAUGAAAAUUCUGAAAAAUUACCUUCAAAUGAGCUUCAACCUUGCUUGAUCUUGCUUCCAACUGUCCUUGGCUUGGCUUCAGAAGCUUGUAGGAGAGGAAUAGAGGCAAGGAAAAGCUUGGACUCUUAGAGUUUCAAUCUCAAGAAAAAAUGAGAUUUGAAGCUCGAUUUUCAAAUGAAAACCUUCAAGAUUAUCCUUUAAUGGUGAGGGUUUGGAUUGCAGAUUCAAAGCUUGGGCAUGAGGUCCUCAAUUCUGAGCCAUGAGGGUUGUAUUUAUAACCAAUCCAUUUGAUUUUCACACACUUCCAAAAUUUGCCAAAUUUAGCAAUUUUAAUUGCAUGCUUGCAUGGGCGUGUGAUAGGCCCAUCAAGUGAUGUAUUCAUGUCCAAAAUUGCUUGUGUAGCAUGCUGAAAUCAUGUCAUGUAGCCAUGCAUUUGAAUUUGAAAUGUGAAGGUGAAAUCCAUCCAAAUGAUCCUUUGAAAAGAACCCAUGCGCAAGUCCUCCAUUCUUUGGCCAAAUGAGUUGAUCUUGGACUUUUUGGAAAGGUGGGAUCAAGGGGAACAACUUUUAUAUUGAACACAUUUCCAUUUGAAGCUUGGACCAUGAUUAAUUUUGAGGUGGAAUUUUGAAGAAUCAAACAUAUUUGAAAAUUUUCUAAGUACCAAGUCAAAUGUUCACUUCUUCCACCUUGAAUAACUUUUGCUAUGGACUUUAAAUGGAAACAGUUUCAUCAUCAAAGUUGUAUCUAUUUCAAACCUAUUAAAUUUGGUCACAAAUUUGAUCUCAUUUGGAUUUGACAUGAAGGAGUUAUGCAUUUUUAGAAGUUGAGGAAAAUCACUUGUUCAAUGGUAAUGGCCCAAAAUGACCUAUAAUGUUUCCUCUUGGAACAUGCAUUUGCAAGUUGAAUUUUAACUUCUUCCAAACAUAAAAGUUGAAAACGACAUCUUUAAUGUUAUCAUGAAACUUGAAUGGCUUUCAUAUCAUACAAAUUGAGCAAGUUAUUUACUCUGGUUGUUACCAGUAAAACGCUUAUGAAGAAGGCACCUCUGAUACAUUAUGUAUCUCCCUAACCAUAUCAAGUCCUCUAAUCUUGAUAGGUUAUGAACUCUGAAUCUGUUAUCACGUUUUACCAACACUUUUUUGGAAUAUUUUUAUGGAAGAAGAGUUAUUAUGCACUGCGCUAAUCAAAUAUCAAAUCAAGAAAGUAAUGCUUCAAACGGAUAGAAAAAGAUUUUUUAGCAACUCAAUAUUUAUGUUGUACCUACAUCCACUACAACAACAAUGUUUCUCGAAGAAAGCUCUAAUCCUUAUCUAUCCAACAACAAUAUACAGACACUUAGAGUGGUCUUAGAUUAAUGGGUAGACAUAAGAUGUGUUCUUAACUCAUAAACACACUAAGAAACACACUUCAAAGAUCUGGAGCUACACUAAGCAGAGACAUCAAUAGUGUUCUCAUACAUCAAAGGUUUAGCUACAAAAGCACAUAAAAGAAGAACAUUUGUGCAAAAGUAAGAAAGAAAAAGAAGUGAAGCACUUAGAAUCCUAACAUUUCAUAUCUAGCUUAAGUGUACAUUCUGAUUGUAAAUUUGUGUAAUCUACUUAACUAAGAAACACACAUAUAACUACAAAACUAUUAUAACCCAAUCUGGUUAUGUUCCUCAAGCAAUCAUGUCGGUUAGGCUCUUGAGAAGUCAGUGACACGUAGUCAUUGAGGGAGAAAUAUUCUUAAGUGAGCAGGUAGAUCGGGUCUUAAUGAGUCAUUGACCUUUAGGGUUUCUGAAACGUCGGGUAGGCCGGGCUCUUGAGGUAAUCAACGACUGGUUGUCAUUGCUUUGUAAUCAUGAUUUGAUUUUUGGAUUAAGUCAUUGUCUAAGGCAAAUAACAUGAUGGAUGGACUGGAGGUAGCCCAGUUAAUGGUGAACCAAGACAAAAAUACUUGUAUGCAUAUGCUUAUUUUUAUCAUUGCUACCUAACAGAUUGGGUGGAAAAAAGUUUUCAAACUUUAAACCUAAUUCAAACCCCCAUUUCUUGUGUUUCUUGCACCUUCAUUUGGUAUCAGAGCACUGAUCGGUGCAUUUUGAUGCACCUUCUUCUACUAUUGUACUUAGACAACUCUAUAGUUUAUUCUAUUAUUUUUACUAUUUUAGUGUAUUUUUAUAUUUAAGUUUAUUUUUAGUUUUAUUUUAUUUUCGUACUUUAUUUUUAGCAUAAAUAGUUAUUUCAUAUCUUGUUACUAUGCAAAUCAUAACUUGAACUACGAGGAUCGGAUUGAUGCGUUCUAAUAUGUGUUGGAAAGCUGAGAGGAUAAGCUAAAAGUUUCAUGUUGAAGUCAAAAGCUGAUUCUAAGUGAAGGAGGGUCGAAUAAUUCGUUGAAGUUCCAGACUUAAUUAAAAUAGUUAGUUUGGGUCAGUUUUUGUAAUUUUCGGGUCGGAUUCUAUAAGAGCCCGAAUUUCCCUUUUAUUAUAUUAGGUAUUUCACUACUAUAGAAAUCCUAAUUCUGAAUUUUGAUGAUAAAAUAUUGCUUAGAAGAUUUCAUGGAGAGCUAAUUCCCAAAGAGUUGAUCUGUUGUAUUCGAAUUCCACUUUGAGGUUUUUAUUAAUUUCAGUUUAAUUUCAAUUUCUUUUCAAUUCUUCCUAUAAACUCGUUUGCUUAAUUCGAUUACUUUCGUUUGCUUAAAAGGUUUUUAUUAAUUUCAGUUUAAUUUCAAUUUCUUUUCAAUUCUUCCUAUAAACUCGUUUGCUUAAUUCGAUUACUUUCGUUUGCUUAAUUCGAUUGUUUCUUAUAGGAUAGAGUUGAUUAAAUUUUAUAUUUGUAUGAUCCUUAACUAUAAUCACGUUAGCGUAACUUUUUCGUUAUCGUGUUUGAUUAAGUCGUGUUUGCUUAAUUCGCGUAUGCUUAAAUCUGUUUGCUUAAUUCGGAAAUUAGGAACAUACAUCAUAUAAUACCAAUUUGCGCUUUUCAGUGGCUAUUGUAAUCGAAUGGGAUUGAAUCCGCUAGGGAAUUGAAAUUUUAAGAAUCGAUGAUAAGUCGGAAAUCGAUACAAUAAAUUAGCUUAUUUAUCAAUUUUGCUUUUACCUUUAAUCAUCUUUGAUUUAAGUUUUGAACCUUAAAAAAAAUCCUUCUUUUCAUUUGUUUUCAUACUUGAUUAAUUUGCCAAGAGUCCUUGUGAUACGAUACUCGAGGUGUCGCUUUCCGUUUACUAUAUAUUAUUACUCAUUUUUGACCCGUCUGCGACAAUGAAUCAAAUUGGCGCCGUUGCCAGGGAUCUUGUAGAUCUUAACCAUUAUUAUAGUCUAAUCAUUAUUAUAGUUUUAGGUAUUGUAUUUUAGCAUUUUUUGCCCUAACUUUCUUGCGUUCGGGUCUUUUUGGGUUUUAGGAUAAAAAAAUCUGUUUUUUUAAAAAAAUUGUCUCAAAUUUUUCCGGUUCUUUGUCGAUUAACUAGGAAAAAAUCAAGGAUCAAAAGCCUCAAUUUAGGAACUAAAUAGUGGAAGUCAUCCUAAAAACCCGAAAUUCCUUAUUUUUCUAUUUUUUAUGAUUUAUUUUCUAUUUUGAUAGUUUUAGAAAAUUCCGAAAAAAAUUUCAAAAUUUUUAAUUGACGUUAUUAGAUUGGUUUUCGUGUUUUUGUAUUUUAUUUUAAUCGUUUUUUUCGUAUUUCAAUUAUUUUUACUUAAUAGGGACAUUGUCGGUAUUUUUCUAUUUGUUGCUGCAUUGCUGAAUUAGUUGUGUUUUCUCAUUGUUUGUUGAUUUUUUUCUUUUCUAUUGAGUUUAACAUGGCUGACCAAAGAACCCUGAGAGAACUUGUUGCCCCUGAUGUUGAUUAUAUAUUUGUUGCUGCAUUGCUGAAUUAGUUGUGUUUUCUCAUUGUUUGUUGAUUUUUUUCUUUUCUAUUGAGUUUAACAUGGCUGACCAAAGAACCCUGAGAGAACUUGUUGCCCCUGAUGUUGAUUAUAAUGCUUUAUGUAUUGAAUAUCCUGUUGCUGCCAAAUCCUUGAUUGAGAACAUGUCACUUAACUCCCAACAGUUCACAACAAGGGAUAAUUUUAUUGUUCAAGAAAAAGGUAUGAAUGAGAUUCAUGUUUCUUCUUCCAACAAGGCUCUAGAAACCAGAAUUGAUGAACUUACCUCUUUAGUGAAACAAUUGAUGUUACACAUUUCACCACCGCCACCAUAUAACCCUCCACAAGUAACCACCUUUUCACAUUCUGAACCUUCACUAGAGGAACUUGUCAAGCAAAUGAUUAUAAACAGUCUCCAAUUUCAGCAGCGAAUAGAUUAUAGUAUUCAGGCUUUGCAAACACAAAUUGGACAACUUGUCACUUUAUUGAGUGUUAUGCAACAAGCUCAAGGAUCAAAUCAACUACAUGCCCAAACAGUAGCUAAUCCAAAAGUCUCUAAUGUGAGUGUAAUUUCCUUGAGAUCCGAAAAAGUUACAGAACCAACCCUAGAAAAAAAUAAAAAAAUUGUUAGUGUAACACCUGAUAAUAAACCUGAACCUUCUAUUGUUGUUGAGGUUGAAAAAAAGUAUGUAUCAUCAAUCUCUUUCCCACAAAGAGUAUUGAAAAAUAAGAAGAUUGACGAGGAAGGUCAUUCUGUUUUUCAAAUAGAGUUGCUUUCUGAAGUUGUUGAUGAAGCUUGUUCUGAUUUGCUUUCAGCUGAUUUUCCAACUUUAUCUAGUUUUGAUGAUAUUUACUCAUGUGAUUAUUGUACUAACACUAACCUUUGUGUUAUUUGUGCUGAGAUUGACGCUGCCUUGCAGGGUGAUAGUGUAAACGAAGUUGUUUAUGUAGUUGACGCUUUUGACAUCCCAGCUGCCCCAAAAAUAUCAUCCAUUGAACAACCACAUUCUGUAGAGCCUAAACAACUUUCUGAGGAUUCAUAUUAUUCAUCAAAGCUUCAACUUAAGCAGAAACAUAAGAAGGGAAUUGAAUGGACCUUGGCCGAUACUUGUGAUAUUAGCCCAUCCAUAUAUAUGCAUAGGAUCUCACUUAAAGAUGUAAUAAAAGUAGUGAGGCAGCCCCGUAAUCCUUUGAUUCUUGAUGUUGUGAAAAAGGAGAUCACUUUCAUGUUCUCAUUCAACACUUUUACUUAUCAAAGAUUCUUCUUUGAUCUUGGAAUACAAGACAAAUGCACUAAUCAAAAUUUUAAGGUCAAUGAACACUACCCAAAGCGACUCCAUGAGAAUCCGACUUUGGAAGAAGAGACUGUAGAAGAGCUCUCUUUGGGAAAGGCUGCUUAUGCAAUCAUUUAUCCGCCUUGACUCAUCGGGUGCGUUCUUUCCUCUCUCUCUCACUCUUAUUUUAUAUUUAUUCUCUUUUAUUGAGGACAAUGUAUGUUUUAAGAGUGAGGGAGAGAACCAUUUAUUUAUUUUGUUUUCAGUUUUUCUCUGUUUUGGUUUUUGUUUGCUUUCUUAAAAAAAAUUGCAUGUUUUUUCCUUUGGUUUUUGAGUUAUAAUUAUGAGUAUUUUUCUUAGUUCUCUUGACUAAAGUCUUGUGGUGUGAUGUGAACAAUUUGUUGUGCAUUUUUAGUAUGAUAGGUAGGACUAAACUCUAAAUUGUACAUCAUUUGUGGUAGAUCAAUUAACCUUGUGAGAUUUUGAGCCUUAUAUGGAUAACAUACAAAAAUCCAUCUCUUUCUUAGAUAGGUAGGACUAAACUCUAAAUUGUACAUCAUUUGUGGUAGAUCAAUUAACCUUGUGAGAUUUUGAGCCUUAUAUGGAUAACAUACAAAAAUCCAUCUCUUUCUUUCUUGUGUGAUUCACUCAUGGCUGUUAGUCUCGAGAACUUGAUUUGACUCUUGCUGAUGUUGUUGUUUACUUGUGCACACUGAUAUGAUAAAGACAAUUUUUUUAGCCAGUUAGUCAAAAAGCCAACCCUAAAAUAAUAUCAUCCCUUGUUUGAAACCCCAUUUAGCCUAUUAUCCUUUUUUUUGUUUAAAACUCAUUACAAACCGAGAAGUGAAAAACAAUGUUAUCACCCUAUUCAAAGGGUUGGAAGAGUCUGGUUUGGAGUUGUGUGCAGUUGAAUAAGUAUGUUUGUAAUAUUUCAGAAAUUGGCAGAAAAAGAAAAGAAAAAAAGAAAAAAAAAAUAGAAGGAUGUAUACAUGUCAAUAGAUACUCCUUAUGAAAAAGAAAUAAAAAAGAAGAAGAAAAAAGAGAAAGGAGAAAAAAAUAUGAAUGAAAACAGUUAAUAUAGAGUUGUUGAAGUGAAUGAAAUAUUUUGUAAAUUCAACUCCCGCAGUUUCUUUCAAGUCUCUUUUGUCUCUUUGAAUUUUAGCCUAGUAUCCCUUAGGAUUUAUCUCACCCUUACCUUGGCCACAUUACAACCAAAUAAAAGUCUUUUUGAUCUUUAUGUGCAUGUAUUUCAAUUGUGGAUGUUAGAGUCUUUUCAAGCUUAUGGUAGUACUAAUUUUCAUGUUGUGCUUUGAGUGUAAACAGUUAAUCUAAACACUUGAGAGUUGAGUGAAUUAUAUCCUGUGAUUCAAUUGUGGAUGUUAGAGUCUUUUCAAGCUUAUGGUAGUACUAAUUUUCAUGUUGUGCUUUGAGUGUAAACAGUUAAUCUAAACACUUGAGAGUUGAGUGAAUUAUAUCCUGUGAGGAUCUUACUACGAUUGAUGUACUCUUUGGUAACUUGUUUUCCUAUCUGCUUUGGAUGUCAUAAAAAGUUGCUUACUAAUACCAUAUUCUUAAAGCUUAGACUUAGAAUUUUGCUUGCACCUUGUAUCUUGACAACCUAUGGAAUUGCAUGUUUUGUUUGUUCUCAUUUUUCUAUUUUGAAUUUAUAAUUUUGCUCGGAGUGCAAAAGUUCAACUGUGGGGAAAUUUGAUCGGUGCAUUUUAAUGCACCUUCUUCUGCUAUUGUACUUAUAUAAAUCUAUAGUUUAUUCUAUUAUUUUUACUAUUUUAGUGUAUUUUUAUAUUUAAGUUUAUUUUUGCUUUUAUUUUAUUUUCGUACUUUAUUUUUAGCAUAAAUAAUUAUUUCAUACCUUGUUACUAUGCAGAUCAUAACUUGAGCUACGAGGAUCGGAUUGAUGCGUUCUAAUAUGAGUUGGAAAGCUGAGAGGAUAAGCUAAACGUUUCAUGUUGAAGUCAAAAGCUGAUUCUAAGUGAAGGAGGGUCGAAUAAUUCGUUUAAGUUCCAGACUUAAUUAAAAUAGUUAGUUUGGGCCAGUUUUUGUAAUUUUCGGGUCGGAUCCUAUAAGAGCCCGAAUUUACCUUUUAUUAUAUUAGGUCUUUCACUACUAUAGAAAUCCUAAUUCUGAAUUUUGAUGAUAAAAUAUUGCUUAGAAGAUUUCAUGGAGAGUUAAUUCCCAAAGAGUUGAUCUGUUGUAUUCGAAUUCCACUUUGAGGUUUUUAUUAAUUUCAGUUUAAUUUCAAUUUCUUUUCAGUUCUUCCUAUAAACUCGUUUGCUUAAUUCGAUUACUUUCGUUUGCUUAAUUUGAUUGUUUCUUAUAGGAUAAAGUUGAUUAAAUUUUAUUGUUUGUAUGAUCCUUAACUAUAAUCACGUUAGCGUAGCUUUUUCGUUAUCGUGUUUGAUUAAGUCGCGUUUGCUUAAUUCGGGUCUGCUUAAAUCCGUUUGCUUAAUUCGGAAAUUAGGAACAUACAUCAUAUAAUACCAAUUUGCGCUUGUCAAUGGGUAUUGUAAUCAAAUGGAAUUGAAUCUGCUAGGGAAUUGAAAUUAUAAGAAUCGAUGAUUAGUCGGAAAUCGAUACAAUAAAUUAGCUUAUUUAUCAAUUUUGCUUUUACCUUUAAUCAUCUUCGAUUUAAGUUUUGAACCUUAAAAAAAACACUUAUUUUCAUUUGUUUUCAUACUUGAUUAAUUUGCCAAGAGUCCUUGUGAUACGAUACUCGAGGUGUCGCUUUCCGUUUACUAUAUAUUAUUACUCGUUUUUGACCCGUGUGCGACAACAGAUCAAGCAUCGAUUAUGUUAUUAACUCAUUAUGUCAAACCCUUAACUGUGUUAGAAAAAGAUCUACGGUCUUGAGAAAAUACAAAAGGUUAAUGCUUACAACAAUACUUAUUAUCAUUUUCAUUCCUCUAAGGUUUCAUGGAGAUAAAUUUGAUUACUGACAAGACUGGAUAAAAUGUUUCCUUCUUGGUCAAAAAUGAAAAUCUAUGGGAUAUGACUCUAAUUGGCUUCACAUAUUCUUUGUAUGCUAAUGGUGUAAGACUUUAAAAAAGUCAAAUAAGUAAGCAUUAAAUAAAGGAUCACAAAGUCCUCAUGAAUCCAUACAUAUUGUGCUUCUUACUAUUUCUUAUGUUAAUAUGAGAAGAUUUUAAAUAAAGACUCAACUAAGUCUAUAUUUGUUUCUUUGAAAAGGGACUCAUAAAGUGAAUAAGGAAAUAGAAGAAGUGUAAAACUUUGGACUCAACUCAAAGGACAGGGCUUCAUUGAAAGAAUUAUUUUUAAUUUCAAUGAUCCUACUGGAAAGGGAAAAGAGACAUUGGUUAUCAUAAACCAAAGUUUUUAUUGUCAUGCCUAAACCCAUAAAGAAAAUAAAGAAGUCAACAACAUUGUAGUUUCAUCUUACUUUUGGCUGCUCUCAUCUCUCUAGCAAAGAUGAGAUAUCAUUCACGAUGCCUGGUAUUGGAUGCUCUCUACAUGUAAAUGGAAUCUAAGAAGAGGUAUUAAUAAAAGAAGAGGGAGAUGCAAAGAAGAAAGGAUCUAAAGAUAAAUAUGGAAGUAAUUCGGCGAAUAAAGGUUCCUUCAAAGAAGAACAUGGUGUCCUAGCUCACAGAGUCGGCAUUAUCAAAUGAUCAGGAACAAAUUCUCAAUAAAAUUCAGUCUACAGUGAGAUUCUGAGAAAAGUCAAAGAUUCUGAAGAAAAAGAAAAUUCAACUUUGAUGAAUGUAAGAAAGUGAAUCGUCAGAACCUAUGAAGUUCAUCAUUUUCCAGAAGAGUCAAAAGAAUAGGUAAGCAAAGGUAGGUCUAUGUGUCUCGUUCUAAUUCCUCAUAUCUUGUAGUAUAUACCAAGUGUUGCACGCAUGACUCUAAUGUAAGACAAUUGACAUACGUUUAGCCAGCUGAACAAUUGAGGUGACCUAAUUGAUGUUAGUUUGUGUGUUUAGAGAAAAUCGUUUGUUUUGCCUCCCUUGUCAAAAUUAGUGUUUUAAAAUUAUUUUAAUUAUAAAAUUUCCUAUUUAAACAUAUGGCACACUCACUUCUCACACAAUACAUAACUCCUUUUCACAACUCACACUUUAAAGUUUUUUUUCCUCCAAUCUCUCUUUCCUUUCUCAAAACCUUAACCAUGGAUGACCAACAAUAUCAAUAAAAAGAGCUUCCACAACAACGGAAAAAUAAACAAUAUCAUCCAUCUCAAAAAGAAAUUACUAUGAUGGAAGACAUCUCUGAUAUCUCUUUAUCUACCCCAGUGGAUGAGUUGGAAGUUCUCUCUGAAACUAUUGUAGAUUUCGACAACCUAAAAAAAUGGGUUUGAUCUCUCUAUAGAUGUUGUAACCCAUGGAUGGGAAGUCUACUUCAACAAGUUGAAGGGGUCAGUUUAUCCGGCCUUGGUACAAGAUUUUUGGAUUCAUGUAGAAGCUACAGAAGUUCAGAUUUUCUCUAGUGUUUUGGAUCAAACUAUUCAAGUUUCUUAAAAUCCAUAACCAAGCUAAUGAAUCAUGAUGGGUCUGACAAAAGUCGUUAUCAAAUGUUUAAAAAUGAGGCAAAAAUGAAGGAAAUUGUAAAAACCAUCUUUCAGAAAGUAUCAGAUUCAGGUAUCAAGAAUCUUUAAUCCUCAUUAAGGAUUUUGGUCAAGAUUAUCUUGGGGUGCACUCAUCAUCAUCUUGCAAAUAACUCUGCCGACUACAUUAAUACUGACAAAAAAUACAUGUUGUAUUAUCUGGCCAAAGGUAUCAAGAUGAAUCUUCCUUCCAUCUUGUUUAAAUACUUAAGAGAGAUGGUCAAAGAAACAAGGAACGAUGUCAGUAAGCAAAGGAAAUGGAUUCCUUUAGGUGGGAUGAUAUAUGGCAUCCUAGUUGAAAGCAAACUGGAAGCCAGGCUAGAAGAAAUGCAAUUUCGUGAUGACCUCUACAUAGAUGUAGGAAAAUCCUUCAAUGGAAGAAAUCUUAAAAACAUGCUUAUGAUCAAAGAUGUUGUGAAACCUGAAGGAAUGGAUUGGGAAUAAGUCUCCUCUAGAAGGGUUGAAAUUGAUGGCUUUCGUUUAUUCAGUAAGCAGGAUCCUCCAGAGGUUCUAUGGGCUUACAUGAUGAGUUUCUAAGCAGAUGAUCUGAUCUAGGUGUGGACAUUUGUGACUUACCAGACUUUUACUGAAGUCCAUCAAAAGGUAGUUAUUGAAGCUAUAACACCCCAAGUUUAGUUUUCUAAUUUUAAUUGAAUUUAUAUUAGUUUAUUUCAUUUAAUUUAAUUAGAUAUUAGAAAUAUUAACAAAAAUUAGAGAUAUUUUAGAGUUGGGAGAGAAUAUAGUUUUAUUUAAAAUUAGAGAGAAAUAAGUGUUUUGAGUAAGGAGUUGAGGGUGUGGUGAGAUUUAGUGAGAAUAAUAGAAUUAUUAUUUUAAUUAAGAUAAUUUAGUUUAUUUGAGUAAUUAUAUAAUUAUUUAAUUAGAAUAUUGUUUGAGUCAGAAUAAAUUAUUUAUUUAAUAAUUUUAUUUAAUUAAAUGCAUAGUCAAAAUUAAAUAGAAAAUAGAGUUUUUAUUGAGGGUGUGAGAAGCGUUUAGUGGUGAAAUAAAUAAUUGAAACUUUUAGGUUAAAUAAAUAGAUAAGUUGGAUGUGAUUUUUUAGGGAAUAAGGUGAAUUUGUGGGAAAGAGCUAGCGGCAUAAAAAUCUAAGGAGAGCGAUCAUUUGGAAAGGGGCAGAAACAAAAUCUCAAAGCCAAGAUUUUCAUCGAUCGUCAAACUUUGAGGUAGGGGGAGAAACUCUUUACUUACAGGUGUUUAAUUGUUGUUGUGUUGUGUUUUGUUUUUCUAAGAUUGAUGGGAUUAUUUUCCCUCAUGUUUGAGUAUUGAACCAUUUAUUUGGAUUUAUUCAAUUAAACCUGUUUGAGAUUACCCGCUACGUAUUUUUGAAAAAGUUUUAAGAAACAUGUUGGGUUAAAGAGAUGUGUGACAACCUUAGUGCUUAAAUAUGUUUUAUUUUCAUGAUUUAUAUUAAAUAAGAGUCGUGGGGAUACAUGGUGUUACAUAGUGGUAUUAGAGCAUGUCGGUCCGUCCGACCAGGUUUUUGUAAUUUUAUCUGUUUCCUGGUGUACGAAAAGUGUGUGAACAUUAUCGAUACAAUGUUUCAUCUAAUAGUUGGUUGAUGUUGUAACAGAGAAAUCAAUGGAAAAAAUGAUCGCGUUAUCGCUUAUGCCUUGGUAGCUUUGGGUAAAGUUUUGCAAGCUUAGUAGAAUCCACAGGUUGAAAAUGCUAAAUCCUGUAGAGUGGACAGGUUUCUGAUAAAUAAGCCACCAACCUUCAAAGGAAUGUAUGGCCUAGAGGGCUUCCAAGUUUGGUUGUUGGAGAUCGAGAAAAUCUUUCGAGUGAUGGCUUGUACGAACGCUUAGAAGAUUAUUUAUGGUGCUUACAUGCUAUCUAAAGAAGCAUAAUACUUGUGGGAUAAUGCUAUACAGAUAUUUGAGGCUAAUGGUAUGAUGAUUACUUGGGUUGUUUUUCGAGGAGCAUUCUUGAAAAAAUAUUUCCUAGCUUAUGUGCGUAGCAAAAAGGAGAUUGAAUUCCUUGAACUUAAGCAAAGGAAUAUGACUGUUGCAGAUUGUGCUGCCAAGUUUGAGGGAUUGUCUAGGUUCUUCCCUCACUAUAAUGGGGUAGAAGUUUAAGUGUCCAAAUGCAUUAAGUUUGAGAAUGGACUUCACCCAAAGAUUAAGCAGUUUAUUGGAUAUUAGGUAACCCGACGGUUCUCCGUGCUGGUUAACAAGUGACGUAUCUAUGAUGAAGGUAGCCGUGCUAGAUCCUCUCAUUAAAAUAGUGUUAGUGAUAAGAGAAUUGGAAAUCAGUAUCAUUGAAACCUUAUGCGACUUCAGUUGCUAAGGAGGAUCAUAAGUCUCAGUAGAAAACCGCAAACGGGAAUGGAACAAGUGGGGGAUGUGCUCUUACUCCUAUUAAGUGUUUCAAGUGUGGGAGACUGAGGCAUCAUGCUAAUGAAUGCAAGAGUGCAGUUGUGACAUGUUUCAAUUAUGGAGAGUGAGGUCAUCUCCGUAUUCAGUGCCAUAAAUCGAAGCAAACUCAAUCAAUUGGAAACAUUUUUGCUUUGAUCUGAUGAUGGGAUUCAUGGUAUAUAUUUCAUAGUGAUAUCUCUUUUGUUGAAAUUACCAUUAAGGAUAACUUAAUGUGAGGGUUAGAAAACUAGUUGAGAGAGUCUUAGCUAGAGAUGUUUUAGUAAGAGAUUUUCGAGGUCGAAAAUCCUUUUAAGUGGGGGCGAGUUGUAACACCCCGGGUUUAGUUAUCUAAUUUUAAUUGAAUUUAUAUUAGUUUAUUUCAUUAAAUUUAGUUAGAUAUUAUAAAUAUUAAGAAAAUUAGAGAUAUUUUUAGAGUUGAGAGAAAAUAGAGUUUUAUUUAAAAUUAGAGAGAAAGAGGUGUUUUGAGUAAGGAUUUCAGGGUGUGGUGAGAUUUAGUGAGAAUUAUUAUUUUAAUUAAUAUAAUUGAGCUUAUUUGAAUAAUUAUAUAAUUAUAUAAUUAGAAUAUUAUUUGAGUCGGAAUAAACUAAUCAUUUUAGAAUUUUAUUUAAUUAAUUGAAUAAUAGAAAUUAAAAAAAAUAGAGUUUUCAGUGAGGGUGUCAGAAGAGUUUAGGGGUGAAAGAGAUAAUAGAGACUUUUAGGUUAAAUAAAUAGAUAAGUUGGAUGAGAUUUUUUCGGGAAGAACGUGAAUUUGUGGAAAAGAGCUAGUGGCAGAAAUAUCUAAAGAGAGUGGUCAUUUGGAAAGUGGCAAAAACAAUAUCCUAAAGCCAAGAUUUUUAUUGAUAGUCAAACUUUGAGGUAAGGAGGGAGAAACUCUUUACUUACGGGUGUUUAAUUGUUGUUGUGGCCAAAGAGGGUUUGGAUAAAAUCCUUUGGUCAUUGAUCGACAUGUUUCCCUUAUUUUCAUGAGAAGUCAUAAAACUGAAAGAUUAUUGCUAUUGAAUCCUAUUUGAUUUCCUUGUUUUAUAAUAAUCUCUAGUUGUACCCUUUCGUCAAAUUUUUUAAUAAUUGAAUUUUGGUAUAUGAAUUGUAUGUGGUUGAUUUGUGUUGGUUUUUGAGCGAAAUCCAUAAAAAGUCAUAAUUGAAAUUUAUGCAAAAGUGUGUUUCUAUUUUUCAAACGAAUAUGUGUAAUAAUAUGGUCGAGAUUUUAUUAGAAUGGCUUCUUCAAAUGCCAUACAGCCAACACAAUAACAUAUUAUUAUUUAUAUUAUGUUGUUUUUUAAUUAGUGUGAUAAUAAUAGUGGUUGAUAUUUUAAAAUAAAAGGAAAUGAAUUUUGUCAUACCCCAAAAUUUGUCCUUCCCUUUUCAUUUUUCAUCUAACAUGUGGCUUGAGAUUUAUCUGCACUCAUUCAUACCUCAUCCAUGUUAACAGUUGCUAAUAAUCAUCAUAGUUCAAAGUUUGUGGCUAACAAAAGCUAGGGCUUGCUUGUGGAUCAAGCCCUAGAGAUGUGAUAUGGCUCUCCAUAUGGAAUCAAUGGGGUUAAAACCCCAAUUCCUUGAUCUUUGGGGACCUUGGUUCAUGGAGAUCACAACCUAACAUUUAUCUGUGCAACAAAAACCUAAUUCUUGGCUUUGUUCCUCUGGAAUCUUGUGUUUGACCUCUUGAGCAUGGGUUGAAUCACUGAACCCUAAUUGUGGGCCCAUGUGUUAGGAUAUUGAGUGUGGAUCCUCAACUUAGUUUGAAGACCUUGAUUAGAGGAUGUGCAUCAUGAAACACUAAUCAGGGAUGCCUGAUAUUGUGUGCCAUUUUGAGUUGACUGUUGACCAUGGGAUUAACUAAAACUCUAGCUCAUUUGGAAGAGACUAUUGACCAUCUUGUCAUGCAUCAUCAACCAUUAAAGUUGCUAUUAUGCAUGAGAUUCAUUCAUCUAACCUUCAUGUCCACUUGUUUGGGAUUUCAUGUGGUUCAAGGUUUUGUUAUUACAUUCAUCCAUAUGGUGUUUUCAAAAUCUUUGGUCCUCGAUUCAUGGUCAUUGUUUCCAUCUAUAUUGUGUUAUCAAGAUCAUCAGGCCUUGGUCAUUAAUUCUUGGAUUCACACUUGCAUUAGUGCAUUGGUCUUUUGGUCCUUGGUUUGUCUUUGAUCCAUUAAGAUACUUAAGGAAUUAUAGACCAUUCACUCCUGAUUCGUCUAUGUACAUUGGUCUUUUUGAUCAAUUGCAUUCAUUUUGCUAUGGAAGUUUUGCACAAGUGAUGAAAGGCAUGUUUUAUUUAAAUUAAAGUCAUAUUCAUUCAAGCUCCUCUCUUACAUUACAAGUCACCAUAUACAUUUCUAUAAAGUCUAUUUUACAUCAGAAAAUCCUAAUUUCUAACCUACAGUUAACUUUGAUCAAUUGUUGACUUUUUCAUCAACCAUCCAUCCCUAGGCCCUCAUCAGAAUCUUCAAGCUCUCACUUGGUCUAAUCCAUAUCAUGUUAAAUAAACCUAAACCUAACAUAGUCCAAAACCAUUCAUUCACAAUUAACAUACCACAUCCAAUACAAUUCAAACAAUUCACAUUUCAACUUGUAAUUCAAUACACUUUCCAUACAAAACUCAAUUCUAUAAACCAUUCAAUUCAAUUCCAUGGCCUUUCAAUACAUUCCCAUACAACCAAUACAUUCAAACUUGCCAUUGCAAAUUAAUACAAUACACACUUUCAAUACAACUUUCCAUUAAAAUCCUAUAUUCCAUAAACUACAAUUUUCCAUAACUCAAUCCCAUUCACAAUACACAAAUUCUAUGCUAAACAUUAGUCCUAAAAUUCCCUUUUGAUUCUUCACAACAGCUUCACUUCAAUUUCACAAAGCUCAUGACAAAAAACUCCAAGCUAAGUUUCCACUUGCAAGCUUGUUCAACAGACCAAAUAGCAGGACUCCACAUACAUAAUAGUCCACACAUUGAACCUACAAACAUAUUUCCUACUGACUUUAACAGGGAAAAAUAAUGAAUCACUGCAUACAUGAUAGAAAAUUCAGCAGAUCAAUCCACCCUUCAAAAUUCAAAAUGCAACAGAGCACACAAUUGAAAUGACCUGCAUACUUUCACCAUGCACAUUUUUUACAUGGAGCACACCAAGUGAAGAUCCUGCAUAACGAUUACACCUGUAGAAAUUCAUUCAACAGAUCAUUUAAACUCACUAACAAAAUUCUGCAUAAUUCAGAAAACAAUGCACCCUGCACAAAUUGAAGACCACAAUAACUAACCAACAGAUGCAACAUAGAGAAUCCAAUUAAAACUAACUCAUUUUCACUCAUUCAAACUCUAAUAGAUUUUAUGCAUUUCUACCACAUCGAUGUGAAUUUCAGAUAAAUUCCAUUUCCAUUUCUAAUAUAAAUUUGAAGGACCUAAAAGCUAUAAAUACAUCUCACUCUUCACUCAUUCGAGGAUCACGAUUCAUUUUCACUCUUUUCAGAUUUUUGAGAUUCAAUCUUCAUCUCAGAAACUCUAUUCACCCUCACAUAGAGCUCUCAGAAUAAUCCAUUAAAGCUUCACAUCGAAGCUUCAAUAGAGUAGAGCAUAGCCUUCACUCAAUUCAAUCCCUCUCGAUUACCUUCCAUUACAUCCAUAUCUCAAUUGCAGAAGAAGUUUCAGCAGAAAAAGAGAAUCAAAGGAGGAAGAUAUGAUCAAGAAUUACCUGGUUCAAGUGAUUUCCCGUCGCAACUUCAUUUUCUGCAAUUCAAGUUCGUCGGAACAAAUAUUCAUUUCUGAGGUAAAUACUCUUCUUCUCCGUUUAUCACGAUCUUGUUACCACUGCAUAGACAAUACUUUAGGGGUCAUUAUCCCUAAGAUAUGAUCAUGAAUCUGUGAAUAUUCGUUGUUUAAUUUAUAUUUGAAAGACCUAGGGUUCGUCGUGAGUUCCUCUUCAGAUUGAGCUCUAGGUUGAGAUUCAAUCAAACUUUGUCUGAUUAGUAGCAUUAGCAUGUUGUCACGAUCCCAGUGAUGGUUUUAAUUUGUGCUUUGGUGUUCCACCGUCACCGGAGAUGACCUCCGGCAUGGUGGGUGAUGGUGUCUCGGUGACCUGAGUGUUGAAUUUACAGGUCAGAGGCUACGUGCGUGUUUUUUGGUUUCAAUUUAUUUGAAUUUUCAUUUACAUUUAAUGCUGAACUUCGCAUUGCCUUGUGUUUCGUUUUUAGGGUCAAUUAAUGUGGGCAUUGUGUUGUUUUACUGAAUGCACACCACAUUGCUUCUACGCCCCUGCUUCUUUAGGUGGGCCCUGGUUUGGGCCAUGCGCCUUCUUGGCUUAUUGCACCUCUGUUUGGUUUUAUUUUUGCAUUUUUAUUUCCAUUUUGAUCUUUAAUUUUUGUUUGCUAGUUUUUUUAAUAUUUGUUCAUAAAUUUGACAUGGGAAUUAAUUGAUAGAAUUAAACUAGUUUUGUUAACAUGAUUUAGUUAAUUAAGAUUUAUUGAUUUGAUUAAUUCUUGAUUAAUUGAAUAUGAAUAGAAAAAUAUUAAUUUAACCUAAUUUACAUGAUAGGUGUACAUUGUCAAUUGCAUGAUGAUUGUCUAUCAUAUUGUGAUUUAAUUCUUCCAUUUUUAGAAUUUUAAUUAUUGAUUUAGGUUUUAGUUGAUUAUGACUAAUCUUGUUCAUUUAGGUUUAAUUGUCUUUUAAUCAUUUGUUUCUCAUAUGUUGAUUUCUCUGAUCAAUUGCACCUUAACCAUUGCAUGCUCCCCUAGUUUAGGGUUUGUUUAGAAUUAGUUGAUAUAGUUUGACUGAUUGAUUCAGUAGAUUGUACAUAAUUCAACUGAUAUUUUCCCAUUAGUUGUGUUGAUAAAAGUGUACUUUGAUCAAUCAAAUCCUUUGCAAUGUGCUCAAUUCCCCAAGCAUGUUCAAGUGAUCAAAAGAUCCUUGAUCACUUGAUAGGGCAAGUCUCUUGUGUUCAAGUUAUACUAGAUCUCUAAAGCUCAAGACUUCAAACUCAAGUCCAAGCUCAAGACCUCAAGAUUCAAGAUCAAGAGUUUAAGACUUCAAUCAGUACAAGGCAUUCACAUUGCAGACAGAGUGGACUACUUUUCAAGCACAACAAAUAUGUAUCAACACUUGUCAAUCAUGAAUCAAGUUGUGUGCCAUGAGCCUUAAGCAAUAGAUAAGGGGUGAGAGGGAGAAUUUCUAUCCUCAUUCUGAAUAUCUUUGGGUACGGGAUGAAUGACCCAGUUGCUCAUUGUAUUCACCUAUAUUCAUAGGCUUUAGCAUAAUUUAAAUCAAAUGAUUUUCAAGUCUCUCUUAACAAGCAACACUACAUCAUCAACAUCAACAAUCAAAAUCUUCUUCAGCAACUUGUCAGUUAUGAUGAGGAUUAGACUACAUGAGCAUUAAGCAAUAGAGAAGGGGUGGAAAGGAGCAUUCAUAUCCUCAUUCUGAAUAUCUUUGGGUACGGGAUGAAUGACCCAAUUUCUCAUCGUAUUCACCUAUAUUCAUUGAUUUAGCAUAAUUUGAAUCAAAUGAUUGUCAAGUCUCUCUUCACAAGCAACAUUGCAUCAUCAAGAUCAACAGUCAGAAUCUUCUUUAGCAACUUGUCAGAUAUGAUGAGGAUUACACGACACGAGCCUUGAUCAAUAGAGAAAGGGUGAGAGGGAGCAUUCUUAUCCUCAUUCUGAAUAUCUUUGGGUACGGGACGAGUGACCUAGUUGCUCUACGUAUUCACCUAUAUUCAUAGACUUUAACAUAAUUUGAAUUAAAUGAUUGUAAAGUCUCUCUUCACAACCAACAUUGCAUCAUCAAGAUCAACAAUCAGAAUCUUCUUCAGCAACUUGUCAGUUAUGAUGAGGAUUACACGACACGAGUCUUAAGCAAUAGAGAAAGGGUGAGAGGGAGUAUUCAUAUCCUCAUUCUAAAUAUCUUUGGAUAUGGGACAAAUGACCUAGUUGCUCAUCGUAUUCACCUCUAUUCAUAGGCUUUAAUGUGAUUUGAAACCUGUAAUUGACAAGUUUUCUCCAUGCAACCACCUCAUUUAUUCAAUACAACAACAAGCAAUUUUGUUCCUCCAACUACUUUUGUGUCCUUUUCAGUUUAAACACUAUCUUCAAUCACCUUCGUUGGUUUAAACACCAUUGCAUUUCUUUCAGUUUAAACAUCAUCUUCAGUCACCUUCUUUAGGUUUAAUCAACAUUGCUUCAGUAUACACAACAUCUCUAAUUACCUUUUUCAGACUAUCCUUUCAGUUUAAAAAUAAUAUUCAACUAUGUUUGUUGGUUUAAACACCAUUGCAUUGCUUCAGUUUGAACAAAUGCGCUUGGUGUAAACACCAUUACCCUUGGUUUGGUUGAGCACCAUUACCAUUGUAUUGGUAUAAACCACUUUUCCGAUUUAGACACCGACCUUUCGGUUUAAACAUCGCUUUUUAUGUUUAAACACCAUUUCCUUGGUUUAAACGUAAUUUUUCAGGUUCAAACACCACCGUCCGUUUUAAACACCACAUUAUCAUCCACCUUUUGGUUUAAACACCAUAAUCAGGUUCAAACACCAAACCUUCGAUUUAGACACCACUUUUGGCCCAUCCUUUGGUUUAAACACCGUUUCCUUGGUUCAAAUACCACAUUAUCACACCUUUGGUUUAAACACUACAGUCAUGUUACCUUUUGGUUCAAACACCACAAAUCCAGUCACUAUCCGGUUUAGACACCACAUUAAUUCUUCCUUUGGUUCAAAAACCACAAACACAAAUUCUAUCCAGUCUCCUUUUCUUUGUCCGUCCUAGUUCCACGAACUACAAAGUUCUGACUUUCUCAUUGGAUGGUGAGAGUACGUAGGCACGAGGGUGCGAAUCCUUGGCGAACACCUUCACCUUCAUACUUUAUUCAUUUUGUCCCUUCUUUCAUCUUCCAUCUUUACUUCCACGAACUACGGAGUUCUGAAUUCCUUAUUAUACUAUAAGGAUACAUAGACAUGAGAGUCUUAAUCCUCACUGAGCACUUUAUCUAUUCCAUUAUUUUUUACCUUUAUUCUUUUGUGAGUAAUCUUUAGAUAGUAACACUCAUUUGAGCAUAGAACAAGCAAAACGGUUCUCGUUAAGUACAACGGAUGUGAGGGAUGCUAAUAUCUUCCUCUUGCAUAAUCGACUUCCUUAUCCUGUUUUUCUCUUCCCCUGGAUUUUAUCGAUAUUUUCUCUUUCCUUCGGGAAUAUAUAAAGUUCGAUGACAACUAUGUUGUAUAUUGGAGCGUGCGACGCACUCGAAUAUUUUUCGCGCAAUAUCAAACUUAUGUUGUUUAUUAUUGUCAUAUGUCAUGCCGGUAGCAAUAUCGCAUGAGAGAAUUUAAGGUACAGUAACAUGAUAUCCGUUAAUCAUGUCUUACCUUUAUUAUAUUAGCAAUUCUAUUUUACUCACUAUAGUAACAUGAUACUCUAUCAUAUAUUACCUUUAUAUAAAGUAUAUCAUACAUUAUUUUAAUAAAAUAAAAUAUAAUACAUUAUUAUUAUUUAUUUAAACAAUUAAGGUAACGGAAACUUUUAAUAUCACAUCCAGACAAUUUUGAUUCUAAUGAAUAUUUGAGCAAUUUUGAAUUCCGCGAGUUUAUGGGUGUUUGGGAGAAAUAAGUUAUUUUGAUUUUGCAAGGGUUGUCAAUUGAAUGCUUUAGAGUAUCUUGAAAUACUUUAGAGUCAUAUUUUUUAAUUUAUUUCGAGUGACUCUGACAUGUUUAGAGUUGUUAGAUUUGUUUUCGAAUUAUUUAGAGUUAGAUUUGAUGCGCUUUAUAUAAUAAUAAUAAUAAUAAUAAUAAUAAUAAUAAUAAUAAUAAUAAUAAUAAUAAUAAUUUAAUAUUAUUAAUUAUAAUAUUUUAGAGUUGAGUUGGAGAUAUUCAUCAUUUAGAAUUAUUUUAGAGUUGGAGAGAUUGUUAUAGAAUUGUUUAGAAUUUUCCUUGAGAACUCUCUUGAAUAAAAGUUAAAAAUUGUUAAUCUUUGAUGAAUUGAGAGUAUAAAAUAAAUUAAUUAUUACGUUGUUGGUAUAUUUUGAGCUUUUGUUGAAUUGAGGUGUAAGUUGGAGUUGUUGAGUAAUAACAUGAUUUUACUCUUAUUAUUUUUUAGUAAUAAUAUAAUUAUUAAAAUUUAAUUAUAUGAAUAUUUUGAGUUGAGUAAUUAAGAGGAAUUACAAUGUGGCCUUAUAUUAGAGAAAUUAUAGUUCAAAGAGUAACCUAUUUGAGUACGAGUUUUGAGAAUACUUUUGUUAUUGUUUUUGAGUUAUGUGAUUGUUGUUGUCAUGUUCAUGAAUUCAUGUAAAUUGGAGAAAGGUAGGAUUUCGGUCCCACGAGGUCCAGUGCUCAGAGAGAGCCAGUGACGAGGUCUUGUGCUCAGAGAGAGCCAGUGACGAGGUCCUUUUCUCAAAGAGAGCCAGUGACGAGGUCUAUUGCUCAGAGAGAGUCAAUGACAUUAUCCUUAUUCAAAGAGAACAUUUUCCAAAGAGGAAUUGGGGACGUGGAUAAUUCUAUAAAAUAACUCGGAUAUCCAAACUUUUGGUAUCACAUGUAUUUUUGAAGGAGGAGUACAUUGCAUUAAUACAUUGCAUUGUGAUAUGCUGUUGUUGUUUGUGUAUGAUUUUAUUAUGUAUAUGUAUGUUAUCCUUGCUGACUAAUACACCAAUAACUUUUGUAAAAUUAUUCUCAUCCCUUUUCUAUCAUUGUGUUGCUCGUUAUGCAUAAUUUGCAGAUACAGGUAGCGGGCAAUAGAUAUGAGUUAGAGAAUAACGCAUAUUGCCUUUUUUCUUUAUUUACAUUUUCGAGUUUCUUUUAGUUUCCUGGUGUCGCUCUGAUAUGUAACACUGUGACGAGAUUUAUUUUUGAAUUGUGUUUUGUUUUUCUAGGAUUGAUGGUACUAUUUUCCCUCAUGUUUGAGUAUUGAACCAUUUUGUUUGAAUUUAUCCAAUUAAACCUGUUUGAGAUUAUCCGCUACUUAUUUUUGAAUUUUUUUUUAGAAACAUGUUGGGUUAAAGAGAUGCGUGACACCCUUUGUGCUUAAAUAUGUUAUACUUUCAUGAUUUUAAUUAAAUAAGAGUCGGUGGGGAUAUAGGGUGUUACAAAAGCCGUUAGAGUUGCUGAGGUUGUCAAAGUUGUUGAAGUUUCUAGAGCUACUAAAGUUGCAAAAGCUAAUAAAUCUGCCGAAACUUCUAAAGUUUCCAAAGCUCCUAUUACUGCUGAAAUUGAAAUGAUUGCUAAGGAGUCAAGGUAUCUGACUAAGGAAGUUGAACAAGAAUAUUUUAAAACCUCUUCUCAUCAGAAUCCAUGUAAGUUUUCUAAUGCCGAGACCUUCACUAUUUCUGAAUCUAUAAUUGUUGAUAGCUCACCUGUUCUUGUUCCAAUCAUAACCACUAUCAAUCCAUCAAUUGAAUCUCUAACCCCAAAUGAUCUAGAAACCAUAUAAAUACUCUUAAAACAAUUGAACCAAAAAACAUCAUCACAACUGGACAUACUCUACAAAACAUAAUGCAACAAUAACUUACAUCUUCAUCAAAAUUCCCAUCUUCACGGGCACCACUCAUUCGACAUCCAACAAUACCCACCAACCAACCUGAAAUCAUAGAAGAAAAUGAAUCAAUCUAACAACAACCUCAAUAACCAAUUUCCUCUAAACACACCAUCUUUGAACAUUUAACCAUUUAUGAAGCCACACCCAUGAAUAUCUCACCCCCUCUAUUAAAUCAAAUUGAAAAAUCCAUUCAUGAUCCUAUUCUCCAGGGCUUAUCCCCAUCUAAGGAUUCCUCUAUUGAAAGAUAAUUUUUCUCUAAUAAGGAUCCAACAGUUGUUGAACUUUUAUCUUCCUCCUCUGAAACAUAAAUUAAUUCAGAAACAAGAAUUCUCAUCAUUAACCCUGAACAAACCUUUGUUGAACCUUCUUUUAGUGAAAUAUGGAAAAAUAUAGAAUAAAAAAAACUGAAAAUAUGAGCUUUAUGAGGCAGGUUAUCAAAUAUUGUAUUAAGCAUGCUGAAAGUAAUGCUUAAUGGGAUAUGUACAUUAAUUGGUAUAUCUUAUACUUCACCUUCCUCAAGAAUCUUUCUUAUGAAGUUGUUAUGGAAAAGUUUAUUCCCAGAUUCAGUAAAGUAACGACUCUGAUCCUAGAGAUAAAUAAGUAUGUGGAGGAGUCCUUAGCUAGAUCUAAGAUUUUGGCACUCCCGGCACCUGAACAAGUUCUACCUCAGAUUGGAGCUGUCAUUCCCUCAACUCAGUUCUUAGCAUUUCAACGAAAUGCUGAAGCAACUAUUGGAGUCACUAUUCCUGAACAUAACUUGAUUGUUCCUUCUAAUGUCAUACCAUUUUUUGGGAUUGAUCAGAACUUAGAUUCUCAGCAUGAAGUUGGAUCAACUUACGGGAUUGCAUCUUCUGAACCACAUACUUCUGAGGUUGUUAUUUUUGUAAUUCUGAAGACUAUGGAAGAAUUGAAGAAAGAGAAAGAACUGGUAAGGACUAGGCUAGAUCGUCAAGCAGAGACCAACAAUUAGAUUCAAAAUAUGAUGUCAACCAUCCUUUCUAUACUUCCACCCCAACCAUAAAACAUUAUUUUAAAAACUUUGUGUUAAAACAAUUAUGUGACUCUUUUCGUUUGUCAUCUUUUUCUUCAGUAUUUUAAAAAUAGUUUGGUUCUUUUUUUUUUAUGAUUCUUUUUUAUGACUCCAAAGAGGGAGAAGAGUAAAUGAUUUUGAUCGUUCUUACUCUGUUGAGAAUUAGAAAAAAGGGAGAUGAGUAAUGAUCUAAAGAGUAUGUUAACAUUAAAUUCCUAAGAGGUAAAAAAUAAUGACUCUGAAGAACUUAAUCUAACAUAUCUAAAGAAAGAUUAUCUAAACAAAUGAAUUUCAUUGAAUCAAAAUUCUAAGUCUUGUUCUCAUAGGGAGCUUGCAAAUCUCACUUGGUACUUUUAGAUGAAGAUUUUUGAUAGUCUAAAAUACACAUAGAAAGUUGUAAACCUUACUCUGAAUAUCUUAGCAUAUUUAUCUUAUUUGUGAUUUCAUUGAAACCAAAAUUAUUUUGGAUCUUAAACUCAGGGGGAGCUUGCAAACCUCACUCUGUAGAUUUAAGUCAAAGAAAUAACUUUAAAAAGUAUAAAAAUUAGGGGAAGCUUACAAACCUAACUCUGAUAUUUUAUAAACAUGAUUAUCAAAAAUAAAAAAAAAUCAUCAAAAUACAUUUGUUUAUCAUCAUAAAAAAGGGGAGAUUGUAAGUACAUGUUUGGUUUUACAUUUAUACCUUUAUGUUUUGAUGGUAACAAAGUAUAGAGAAUAAUUUUGUACUCUGACUAUGUGUCCUUAGUAUGCAGAUAAAAGAAAACAGAUUUUGACUCAAAAUAAGUCAAAUAUGAAUAUAGAUGAAGUCUGAAGAAAGUUGCUAAGCAGAUCAUUAAUUGAGGACACACUCUAAGCAAAAAAGAAAGAAAUACAUAAGUAUGUCUAAGGCAUGGUCAAGCUUCAGGAUUAUGAAAGUCAACUCUGAUGGUCACAGACUCUGAAGAAAAGACGAUCGUAAGAAAUCAAAUUUGAUGAAUGAAGGGUCAAGACAUUACAAGACUCUGAAGAGAUAUCCAAGUUUUAAUGUGAAGAAGAUGUCAAUAUGAAUUACAGUUAUAUGUUAAUCCAAAAGAGACUCUGAAGUCUGAACAUCUUCAGAAUCUAUAUCAUUGGUACUCUUGUAGAAGAUAUGAAGAUAUUAUCUACUACGGUUGUUACCAGUAAAACACUUCUAAAGAAGGCACCUCUGAUACAUUUUGUGUCUUCCUAACUGUAUCAAGUCCUCUCAUCUUGAUAGGUUAUGAACUCUGAAUCUGUUAUCAUGUUUUUCCAACAUUAUUCUGGAAUAUUUUAAUAGAAGAAGAGUUACUAUGCAGUGUGCUAAUCAAAUGUCAAAUCAAGAAAGUACUGCUUCAAACGGCUAGAAAAAGAUUUUUUUACCAACUCAAGAGUUUCUGUUGUACCUACCUACUCUACAACAACAAUGUUUCUCGAAGAAAGCUCCAAUCCUUAUCUAUCCAACUGAUAUAUUCUUCAUCCUCAAAGAUAACUUUCUCUAUCCAUUUAAAGAGGACUUGAAAUAUCAGAUACCAAUAAAGAGAGAUGGAAAAGAAAUAGGAUGAUUCCUAAAGUAGAAAGUACACCAGAAAUAAGUGAGAGAAAAGAAAGUGUUCUCAAACAAUAUAAAUACACUUAUAGUGGUCUUUGAUUAAUGGGUAGACACAAUAUGUGUUCUUAACUCAUAAACACACUGAGAAACACACUUCAAAGAUUUGGAGUUGCAUUAAGCAGAGACACCAAGAAUGUUUUCAUACAUCAAAGGAUUAACUGCAAAAGCACAUAAGAGAAUAACAUUUAUGCAAACGCAAGAAAGAAGUAGAUGUGAAGCACUUAGAAGCUCAUAAUUUCAUAUCUAGCUUAAGUGUACAUUCUGGUUGUAAAUUUGUGUAAUCUGCUUAACUAAGAAGCACACAUAUAAACACAAAACUGUUAUAACCCAGUCUGGUUAUGUUCCUCGAGCAACCAUGUUGGUUAGGCUUUUGAGAAGUCAGUGAUGGAUAGUCAUUAAGGGAUAAAUGCUUUUAAGCGACCAUGUAGGUUAGGUCUUGAGGAGUCAAUGACUGUUGGGGUUUCUCAUGUGACUGGAUAGGUCAGGCUCUUGAGGUAAUCAAUGACACAUUAUCAUUGCUUUGUAAUCAUGAUUUGAUUAUUGGAUUAAGUCAUUGUCUAAGGCAAAUCGCCUGAUGGAUGGAUUGGAGGCAAGCUAGUUAACAACAAACCAUGAUAAAAGUACUUGUGUGCAUAUGUUUAUUUUUAUCGUCGCUGCCUAAUUGAUUGGGUUGGAAAAAGUUUUUAAACUGGAAACCCAAUUCAAACCCCCAUUUUUUUGUUUCUUGCACCUUCAAUUAUCGUGUGUGGUAUUUCGUUGUAAUCAAAAUGCUUUUAUCUUAAACUGAUUAAAUAAUGAAAGAUCGUGAUUAUCUUCUGAUGGUUUUAACACCAUAAAAGAGUGGAGUAAGUUAAGCGAGGACCAACGCUGAACCAAUAUAUGUCUAUGUAUACUCUUCUUUCUUCCCGUAUCUCCUUUAAUUUUCUGCAUCUAUUAUUGUAGGUAAUUCGUUACUGCAUUAUUUGUAUGUCAUUUAGGUUAGAUAUUGCUUAUAGCGAUUUAAUGUGUAAGCUUAGAUCUGCGAUGCAUUAAACCUAUUGGAUCAUCAUAAAUCCAAUUAUGUUUUGAAUAAAAUUCUAUGUAAAUUUUUUUAAAUUGAUUUGUUUAAAGCGACUUUUGUUAUCUUGUAAUUGCUUCACAUUUGAAAGAAUCAUUCCUUUAGUGAUAUCUUGUAAUACUCUUUUGUGUCCCCCCACUCUAGAUCUUUUGUGUCCAUAUUCUCACCCAAUAUAGUAUAUAUAUUUUCUCUUAAGUUAUAAGUCUUCACAAAGGAGAUGAACUCCUUAAAUAAGCAUAAAAGUCUAGGUCCAAAAGCCCACUUGAGUUUUGUCAUGAGUUCGGAUGGAACUUCUAAAAAGUGCAUGAGAUCAAUCUUCAUUAUGUUGAUUGUAAAUGUUGAUUGAUCACAUUGAAUAAAUUUGAAUCUCUUGCUUAUAACAACCUCAAUCUUACUCCAUUUGAUUCAUAUAUUCCCAAAACACACAUAAUCAAUCAAAUCUUUUUUAUGAAGAUUGAAAUUCUUGAUUGAUACAACUCUUAAACAAAUUAGAACAUCAAAUGUAUUCUUGCUAAAAAAAAUAGAUUUUUUCAAAUCCAACCAUGUGCUAACACAUUUAAAUCUCUGAUAUAAAAGAAAAGAAAAAAAUAUUGAAAGGAAGAGAUGUACUUCAAUUUAUCUUACCCUUUAAGCAAACAUCUCGUGACAUGUUAAGAAAUGAUGUCUAGGACAUUAUGCUCAACAUCUUGCUUUUUGCGAAUAACAAAUUUUGAAUAUUCAUUAAACAAUUCCAACAUUGACUUUACUUGAUAUGAAUAAUAAUUAUAACCUUUUCAAGUAAGUGAUUUAGAACGCAAACUCUUCCAAAAACGGAACCACUCUUUAAAUCAUAUUUAUUAAAGAUUGGAUUUUUCUCAUUAAGUGGAAAUCCAAAAUCUAGUAAUUAAAAUAAAUCCAAUUAAACAUCUUCAUGAAAUAUUUGUUUAAUUAAAUCUUCAAUAAAUAUAUUUGCAUAUCAAUUUCAGCACAAUGUUGGAUAAAAUAAAUCUGAACCAAAUUUUCCUUCAAAGCAUGUUCAAAAAAAUAUUUUCUUCACUGUAAAUCCAAUCAAAUCUUUUUUAACCAAAUCCAAAUAUUUUAAUGAAAUCAUAUAUAAUUAAAUCUUUUUCAACCAUUAUGGGUUAUGAUUUAACAAAAUCUUUUUCAAAACUGAUUUGAUUUAUAAUUAUUCUUCUAAACGCAUUAUGGACACACUUUUGGAAGAAUUAAAACCGAAUCAAAUCUUGAAUAAAAUCUGAAGAGAAUCAGAACUAAAUUUGUGCAGCACGUGUGCCAAAAUAUCACACAACAUGUUCAAAAUAUCUUGCUCAAAAGUUGUCUACAAACAUUAUAGCAAUCAAAUAUUUCUUUCAAAGCAACUUCAUUAGAAUCUUAGACUAAACAAGCUUAAACCGAAUUAUGUAAUCACAUAUGGAAUCAAACACAAAACAAAAUGAGCCGAGAUGCUCUCAAAAACUUUCAAGACAUCUUGAUUUCCAUUUUACCUAUAAAAAUAAGUCAAUCCAAAUGUAAUAAUAUUAUAAUUUCUCAAAUGAAAAGAAACUCCAAUAAUUCUCGCAAGAGAAUUCAAUAACGAGAAAUUCAAAUAAUGGUCAAAUAAGGAGAAAUUCAAAUAGUUAUCCAAAAAAUACUUAUAAUUUCUCAACUCAAAUAAUGAGAAAUUCAAAUAAUUCUCUAAAGAAAAUUCAAUAAAAUACUCAAGACUCUUCAACAAGUAGAAAGAAAGGGGGAUAAGUAGGUGCUUCGAUGAUUCAAAAAACGCAAAGUAAUGAGAGUGAGGAAGGAAAUACUAAAAAGAAGUUUUCAGUUUGUUUUAAAAUGAAGUGUGUUCUUUACUUAAAUAAUGAAGUAAGAUAUGCAAGAUGUUUAAUCUAAGCAAAUGUUAGAUUAAAUAAUUUUUUCAAUUAACACACAAACACACAUAUUUUUCUAACAAUGCAGGACUUAAAUUUUUUUUUCAAAUUCAUCUCCAUAUUGAAAUAUUUACAUGUUCGAAUAAUAGUUAGAGUGUUGGGUUAUGAGGAGAGUACUUAUAUUGUGUCAAGAAUAAUCAUAUAAAUGUGAAACUUCAUAUCUUUCCUUGAAACCUUAAGAUUUUGUUUGUGAAUAUGGAAAUUUUUUUUCGAUAAAAGAGAAAAUCGUAUCUUUACUAUACAUUUUUUAUAAAACCUUUCCAAAAAUAAAAAAUUGCUCUAAAUGAUAGAAACACUUUGUUGUGUUUUAUGAAAUUCUUUACGAAACUCCAUAAACCACAAGAUAAUAUUCCUUAACACACUUUCUUCUUUCAUGAAAAGUUUAUGGAAGAUUUGAAUCAUCUUCUAAAUUAAGGAAGAUUAAUUUGUUCGAGAUAAAUAUUUUUAACAUAGAGCUACAAGAUAGAUAUCUCUUUAAACUUAUGUGCUUCUUAAAUGAAUGAACAAUGAAAAAGGUUUAGAAAAUCAUUGCAUGAGGCUACGAUGAUUAACCUUUUUGGAAAUUUAAUUAGUUACUUUGUGAUGAUGGAUAAACUUAAGGCAAUUUAGACUUUUUGGUGGUCUUGAUAUAGUCAAUAUAACACUGAACAAUACAUGGUGAAGGUUUUGGAGAGGGACCUUGGACGUUCUUUGAUCAUUACUUAGUAUAUUUUGAAUGGUGGAUAGACUUGGAUCCAAUGUUAGAUAAUAUAGAUUAUGUAGCAAUUCUUGAAUUAUAGAAUUAUUUAAAUUAUUAUGUUUUGCGUAUUUAUUUAAUUGUGAGUGGUUAAUUAAAUAUAGGAGUGAGAUGUGUACCAUUAAAUUAAGGGUAUAUAGAUAGUUGUAGGUGAUGAGUAAAAAUGGGCCAUAAUUACUAAUAAUUAUUUUAGUAAUAAUAAUUUACUAGAUUUAGUUAAUUUAAAGGAAAAUAGAGCUUUGGGAAUGAAAGUGAGAAUUGAGGAAAAAUUAAUGGGAGGAAAAAGAGAGGUUUAAUUGAGGAAAAAUUAAUCAAAUAGAGCUUGUAUGAUGAAAAUUGUUUGUAAUAAUUGAUGAAUUUGGCAAUUAUUCUUAACUGAUUUUUCUGUUUUGAUACUUGAUGUGUUUCCACCAUGUUGCACUGUCGAAGCUUUUGCAAAUAAAUUAUUUUCAUGAAAAUAAUGUAUUUUAUGUGUUAAAUUGAAUUUUAAUUAUGGGAUAAUCGUAGUAUGUCCAAUUCUGAGCGUCAGGCUUUUUACGGAAUCAAAAUCGGAGUUUCGGAGGUCCUCAAAUGGUGAAAACCACAUUCUAGUUUUUGCAGGUCUGUACGCUGUUGCUUAGUGAAGAAGGUCCUCGUGUAGCUGAUGACGACCCCUCAUUGCAUAUAUUUAAUCGAAGAAUCGGAGCAAAAAAAGUGAAAUUCGAGCAAAUAUGAGAAGGAAUGACCAAAGAAUGAGGGAAAAUAGCUAAGUGUGCAAAUUGUGGACUUAGUGAAAACUUUGAGUAAAAAAGGAGCAAAAAAGAGUGAAGCUUCAGAAAUAAUCACAUCCACCAUCACGUAGCAUCACGCACGCGAUAGGACAUUAAAAUUUGCAUCGCAUGUGGGAUGGUCACUUUUUUGGGUCUUUUUCUGAUGCGUUCUGGUCCAUUUUGACACCUUUAAGAGAGGAAAUUAUGCAUUUUCACAUGAGUUACAAAAAUUGGCACUAGGAGCAUGAUUUUACAGCAUUAAGGGUGAUUUUGAGAGUAUUGUAAGCCAUUGGAGGUAAAUCCUUCAAGGGAACUCAUAUGAUAUUCUUCUUUAUUCAAUUGGUAUUUUAAUUUUGACUAUGAGUAAUUAAGCUUCUCUAGGUUAUGUCGUGUGAUGAUGAACCUUAUUCAAUCUUGUUGGCAUUAUAUGUUGGUUUGACUUUAUAUGAAUCCUUUGAAUUAUAAUCUUAUCCAUUUGUUUCUUAAUCUUAAUGUGUUUUAUUUGAGAUACUCUAUUAAUCUGAUAUUAGAAACAUAUGGAUUACUGACCUUUAGCCUAUGUGUUGGACCUAGGGCAACUGUUCUACUUACGCUGGUUGAAUAGGGAUAUGACACCCCGAGUAGUGGCCUAGGGAAUUAACAUUCUGCAUAUCGCCUAACACUGCUUAUGCUGGUGGACUAGGAAUAGAAAGCUCUGAGUAGUGGUUAAUGAGUUAUUUCGUGAGGGAUCGUCUGUAACAGUUUUGUUAGUUCGCCGUGAGAUUAUAAGGACUAGACCAUUCAUAUAAGGAAUCAUACAUCAACAAGAGAGGAUAAGGGAAUUCUAAUACACAAUCUAACUGUCUUAAUACUUCUGUUUUAAACUCGUAAUUUAUUUUUCGUUCUAAAACCUGACCCCCCCCCCCCCCCCCUCAUUUACUAUUUUUCCUUUAUAUUGCAUAAUUGUUGGCUUGUUCGAACACAAUCUUUGUAGAUUCGAUGUUUUAGUAUUGCGACACCAUCGGUACACUUGCCGAGAAGUCAUCAAGUUUUUGGCGCCGUUGCUGGGGACUAUUGAUAUUUCAACAAGGCGAAGUUUGUGCAUCAUUUAGUUUUUAUUAUUUUUAUUUUUAUUUUUGUUUUAAAUUGUAAAUAUUUUAUUUUUGUUACUUCAUAAUUUUUUAUUUUCUAUUUAUUUCUCAUUUUAGUUUUAUUUUUGUUUAAUUUUUUCAUCUAGUGCAAUGCUAGUAAUAUAUUUUUCUUUUUGUUUUGUAUGCAAGGUCAAGACAAUCAUGCAAGAUGACAUUUAUGCUACGUUUGCAAAAUUUGAAGCUUUUACAAAGGAACUUGCAGCAAAAUCGCUCAUUUUGGAAAAUGCUAGAAAUUAUUCAGAAAAAGAAUCUUACAUCAACAUUGGUCAUUCAUAGGAAGAGGAUGCAUCAUCUCAACUUGAAGAAACCUUGACCCAGGUUAUAAAGAUGACUCAACUCAGUUUCGAGAAAAUCAACAGGCAUCAAGAAACCGUGCUAAGUAACAUGGAAACAUCCUUCGAGAAGUUAAAGAUGCAACUUGGUCAAAUAUCUAGCCAAUUAGCAUUAAAACUGAGAUCUAAUGGGGAUUUCUAAUAUAAUAUGUUAGAUAGUCCUAGAGAUACAAAAAUUGAAAGAGAAGUCAAACAGGAAUGUGAGGUGGUCGAUGAAGGAUGGAUUAAAAAAUAAAAAUAAUAAGAAAAGUGUACAACACCGGAUAAAGAGAUAGAACCAAGAAUAGAAGAAGCGGAGGUGAAAAUUAUAUGUGGGAAAAGAACAAGAAUGCAAUAUGAAGAUUAUAUAGUUUUGGAUGAAGCUCCAAAUUGAAUAAAUCAUUUAGACGUAGAUCUCCAACUACAAGAUCUUUAACAAAAUAAUAGUCCUACAUCUAGCAAUAAGGAAUUUGCUUUACUAUUAUAUAGUUUAGACGUAGGAUUAUAUAGUUUGCAUAAUUUACUUUAUUUUUAUUCAAAAUCAACCACAAGAGGAAUUUGCUACUCAAGAGAAUCUAUAUUGUCUUUAAUAAACAAGUUUGUAGCUAUUUUGUUUCUUCCAUAUUGUAAGUUUAACACUUUAGCAUUGAACAGAUGAUCCAAAAUAAACUUGAUCAUCACCAUAGAAACUAGCAACUUGAAGGCGGAGGAUGGGAAAAGAAUCAACGGACUUGUACUCAACCUACAUAUACCUCAUCUGGUAAGGUGUGAGCCAAAUAUUUCCAUUGUUCAUUUUUUAUCUUUAUGAGUGUAUUCAUGCAUUAUUCUUUUAUCUGGUUUGACUUAUUUUCGAUUAAGUUAUCAAGUUUGAUCAACACACACUGAGACAAUAUUUUUUUAUAAUUUUGAGCCUUUGCGACCCACCCAUUAGUAGUAAGAUUAUCCUUUGCUAAACACUUUGAGCCUAAGCCUAUCUUUCGGUGACAUAACCUUAAAUUCUUAGCCAUAUUACUUGAACGAUCUUUUCUUUCCACCCUCUCUUUGGAGUUAGGUAGAAAUAUUGUUCUUAGAGUUUAUGAAAAAGAUUAAGUUUGGGGUUGCUCUUGGAAGUGAGUAACUUUUUAAGUCUGGGGUUUGGGUACUAGAGAAUAUGACCCAAAAUUUAAUAAAACUGUUGUGAAAAAGAAGUGGAAAAAGUCACUUCUUCAAAAAAAGUUAAUGAGAAAAGAAAAAGAAUGACAUUGUAAGAAGGAUCACAAAUCUCUAGUACUAACAAAAAGGUAUGAUGAACGAAGGAGAACUAGGAACCUAACUCCAAAGGUUUAACUCGACUUUGCUAAAUAUAUCCUACCUACCAUAAGCCAAGUUACAACCUGAAAAGCCCUCUAAUGUAUGUGUUGUGAUCUUUUUGAUGAACUUUUUUAGAACGUAAUCAAUCUAAGUUUAAUUGAUUUUGCAUGUUGAUUGAGUGAUCACCCUAUCCAUUGAGUGAGUUAUAGUAGGAUGAGAGGCAAGUUGAGUAUUCGUCAAUGUUGAGGAUAUUUUUCGAAUUCGUCGGAUAGAAGUUGGAAGCUAGAACAUGGUCAGGUAAAAUAAAAUAUUAAUUUGGUGAUGUUUGAUAAUUAUUGUGCGACUUGUUGUCUGUUGAAAUGUGCAGUUACAUAUGAGUUACUUGAGGACAAACAAUGAUUCCAGUUUGGAGUUGUGAUGACAGUUGGUCAUUGCAUAUAUAUAGUCGAAGAAUCAGAGCAAAAUAAUUGAAAGACGAGCAAAUAUGAGAAGGAAUGACCAAAGAAUGGGAGAAAAAUAGAUAAGUGUGCAAAUUGUAGACUUAGUGAAAAUUUGAGUGAAAAAGGAGCAAAAAAGAAUGAAGCUUAGGAAAUAAUCACAUCCACCAUCAUGCACGCGAUAAGGCAUUAAAAGAUGAAACAAACGAUGGUCACUUUUCUGGGCUUUUUCUGACGCGUUCUGGUCAAUUCUGACACCUUUAAGAGGGGAAAUUCUGCACUUUCACAAGGGUUACAAAAUUUGGCCCUGGGAGCAUAAUUUUACAACAUCAAAGGGUGAUUUUGAGAGCAUUGGAAGCCAUUGGAGGCCAAUCCUUAAAGGGAAGUCAUAUGAUAUUAUUCUUUGUUCAAUUGGUAUUUUAAUUUUGACUAUGAGUAGCUAAGAUUUUCUAGGUUAGGUUGUGUGAUGAUGAACCUUAUUCAAUCUUGUUGGUAUUAUAUGUUGGUUUGACUUUGUAUGAAUCCUUUGAAUUAUAAUCUUAUUCAAUUGUUUUUUAAUCUUAAUGAUUUUUAUUUGAGAUACUUUGUUAAUAUUAUAUUAGACACAUAUGGAUUACUGACCUAUAGCCUAUGUGUUGGACCUAUGACAACUGUUCUACUUACGCUGGUUGAAUAAGAAUAAGAGACCCCGUGUAGUGGCCUAGGGAAUUAUUAUUUUAUACAUCAUCUAACCUUGCUUAUGCUGGCGGACUAGGAAUAGAAAACUUCGAGUAGUGUUUAGUGAGUUAUUUCGUAAGGGAUCGAGUAUAACGAUUUUGUUAGCUCGCCGUGAGAUUAUAAGGAUUAGACAAUUCAUACAAGGCAUCAUACACCAACUAGAGAGGAUAAGGGGAUUCUAAUGAACAACCUAACCGUUUCUGUUUUAAACUCGUAAUUUAAUUUCCGUUCUAGAACCUGAACCCCCCCCCCCCCUAUUUAUUGUUUUUUUCCUUUAUAUUGUAUAAUUGUUGGCUUGUUCGAACACAAUACCUGUAGAUUCGAUAUUUUAUUACUGCGACACUAUCAAUACACUUACCGAGAAGUUAUCAAGUUUUUGGCACCGUUGUUGGGGAGUAUUGAUAUUUCAAAAAGGCGACGCUUGUGCAUCGUUUAGUUCUUUUUUUGUUUUAAAUUGUAAAUAUUCUUUUUUUGUUACUUCUUUAUUUUUUAUUUGCUAUUUAUUUCUCUUUUUAGUUUUAUUUUUAUUUAAUUUUUUUUUAUCUAUUGCGGUGCUACUAAGGUAUUCUUCUUUUUGUUUUGUAUGCAAGGUCAAGACAAUCAUGCAAGAUGACAUCUAUUCUACGUUUGCAAAAUUUGAAGCUUUUACAAAGGAACUUGCAGCAAAAUCACUCAUUCUGGAAAAUGCUAGAUAUUAUUCAAAACUAGAAUCUUUAUCAACACUGGUCAUUCAUAGGAAGAGGAUGCAUCAUCUCAACUUGAAUAAACCUUGACUCAGGUUAUAAAGAUGACUCAACUCAGUUUCGAGAAAAUCAACAGGCAUCAAGAAACCAUGCUAAGUAACAUGGGAACAUCCUUCGAGAAGUUAGAGACGCAACUUGGUCAAAUUUCCAACCAAUUAGUAUUAAAACUGAGAUCUAGUGGGGAUUUCUAUUAAAAUAUGUUAGAUAGUCCUAGAGAUGCAAAAAUUGAAAGAGAAGUCAAACAAGAAUGUGAGGUGGUCGAUGAAGGAGGAAUUGAAAAAGAAAAAGAAAAAGAAAAGUGCAGAACACCUGAUAAAGAGAUAGAAGCCAGAAUAGAAGAAGCGGAGGUGAAAAUUAUAAGUGGGAAAAGAACAAGAAUGAAAUAUGAAGAUUAUAUAGUUUUAGAUAAAGCUCCAAAUUCAAUAAUUCAUUUAGACGUAGAUGUCUAACUACAAGUUCUUCAACAAAAGAAUAGUCCUACACCUAGCAACAAGAUUGGUAAAAGAGGAGAAAUAUAUGACGUAUUGGAUGAGAUUUAUGCCUUGUUCAAUACUAUAAAGUUGAAGAGAAUAUGAAAGAAAAAUCUUCAAUUCCUGAAAAUGAUGGAAUUCCUACCAAACAAAAGGAAAAAGAAGGAUGAUGUUUUUUUCUUGUCAUGUAUGUCACCCUAACAGAAAAAUUGAAAGGUCAAUCUUAGUACCUUAAAGAAGCGCUUAAUGGGAGGUAACCCAUCAUUUUUUUAUCAUAUUUUAUGUGUGUGAAAAAUUUACUUUACUUUUAUUCAAAACCAAUCACAAGAGAAAUUUGUUACUCAAGCGUAAACCUUCCAAGAAGAUCUAUAUUGUCUUUAAUAAACAAGUUUGUAUCUGUUUUAUUUAUUUCAUAUUGCAAGUUUAGCACUUUAGCAUUGCACAUAUGAUCCAAAAGAAACUUGAUCAUCACCAUAGCAACUAGUAAGUUGAAGGUGAAUGAUGAGAAAAGAAUCAACAGACUUGAAAUCAACCUACAUAUACCUCAUCUAGUAAGGUUUGAGCCAAAUGUUUCCAUUAUUCACUUAUCUUUAUUUAUGAGUGUAUCCAUGCAUUAUUCUUUUAUCUCGUUUGAUUUACUUCCAAUUAAGUUAUCAAGUUUGAUCAACACGCACUAAGGCAAUUUUUUUUAUAACUUUAAGACUUUGUAAACCACUCUUUAGCAAUAAUAUUAUCCUUUGCUAAACACUUUGAGCCUAAGUCUUUAUUUCGGUGAUGUAGCCUUAAAUUAUUAUCCAUAUUACUUGAAAGAUCUUUUAUUUCCACCAUCUCUUUUGAGUUAGGUAGAAAUAUUGUUCUUAAAGUUUAUGAAAAAGAUUAAGUUCAGGGUUGCACUUGGAGUUGAGCAACAUUUUAAGUUUGGGGUUGGGUCCUAGGGAAUAUGACCCAAAAUUUAAUAAAAUUAUUGUGAAAAGAAGUGGAAAAAGUCACUUCUUCAAAUAAAGAAAUAAUGAAUGAGAAAAGAAAAAGAAUGGCAUUGUAAGAAGGAUCAUAAAUCUCUAGUACUAAUAAAAAGGUAUGAUGAAUGAAGGAGAACUAGAAAUCUAACUCCAAAGGUUUAACCCGACUUUCCUAAAUAUAUCCUACCCUACCAUAAGCCAAGUUACAACCUGAAAAGCCCUCUAAUGUAUAUGUUGUGAUCUCUUUGAUGAACUUUUUUAGAACGUAAUCAAGCUAAGUUUAAUUGAUUUUGCAUAUUGAUUUAGUGAUCACCCUAUCCAUUGAGUGAGUUAUAGUAGGAUGAGAGGCAAGUUAAGUAUUCGUCAAUGUUUAGGACAUUUUUCGAAUUCGCCGAAUAGAAAUUGUAAGCUAGAACAUGGUCGGGUAAAAGAAAAUUUCAAUUUGGUGAAGUUCGAUUAUUCUUGUGCGACUUGUUGUCUAUUGAAAUGUGCAAUUACAAAUGAGUUACUUGAGGACAAGCAACGAUUCAAGUUUAGAGUUUGAUGACAGUAUGUCGUUGCAUAUAUUUAGUUGAAGAAUCGGAGCAAAACAAGUGAAAGUCGAGAAAAUAUGAGAAGGAAUGACCAAAGAAUGGGAGAAAAAUAGAUAAGUGUGCAAAUUGUGGACUUAGUGAAAAUUUGAGUGAAAAAGGAGGAAAAAAGAGUGAAGCUUAGGAAAUAAUCACAUCCACCAUCACGUACACGAUAGGGCAUUAAAAGCUACAUCGCGCGUGAUACAGGGUAUCAUGCGUGCGAUGGUCGCUUUUCUAGGCCUUUUUCUGACGCGUUUUGGUCCAUUUUUACACCUUUAAGAGGGGAAAUUAUGCACUUUCACAAGGGUUACAAAAUUUGGCACUAGGAGCGUGAUUGUUCAGUAUCAAAGGGUGAUUUUGAGAGCAUUGGAAGCCAUUGGAGGCUAAUCCUUCAAGGGAACUCAUAUGAUAUUCUUCUUCAUUCAAUUGGUACUGUAAUUUUGACUAUGAGUAACUAAACUUCUCUAGGUUAGGUUGUGUGAUGAUGAACCUUAUUGAAUCUUAGUGGCAUUAUAUGUUGUUUGACUUUUUAUGAAUCCUUUGAAUUAAAAUCUUAUUCAGUUGUUUCUUAAUCUUAAUGCUUUUUAUUUGAGAUACUCUGUUAAUCUGGUAUUAGACACAUAGGGAUUACUGACCCUUAGCCUAUUGUCAUACCCCAAUUUUGUCCGGGAAUUUUAAAUUUUCAUAAAUUUGAUUUAAUUUUCAGUUUACAUCAUAUGUACAGCAUAACAUGCAUUUUAUCAUUAAUAAUACCUAAAAUAUCAGUCAGGAUAAAUUUAUUGAAAAUACGGACAAAUCGGUUGAAUCUUUUCUCAAUAACGUGCAAGAAUCAACGGGUAAAAAGUUUCAAAUUUAAAAUUGCAGACGCCAGUAUUAUUAACCUACGGUUCAUGUAGUUUAAACUGGUGUGUCCGUUAUAUUUUUCAGCGAUUAUUUCAGUUGCAUUCUGACCCGCCUGAGCCUUUUAACCGGUGAAAAUUUAUUUCAGCAUUUGAAGAAACGUUGUAUUUUUUCAAUAAGUAUAUUUUGUACUGAUCAUUUUAAUGUGUCUGAUUUAAUAUUUCGAGCAAAUUUUCGUCCGACUUCUAUUUAUAAUCGGUCCUUUUAUUUUGUUCUAGGAUUCAAAAUUAGAGAUUUAUCUUAUUAUUAUAUUUUUCUAAAUUAAAUUAUUAUCUAAUAAUAAUUUUUUUUAAAUAAUAUAUAAUAAGAAUUAUUAAUAAAAAAGGAAAAGGAAAAUAAAAUGAGUAUAGUUCACGUUUCCUCUCUCCCUCACGUUUCCUCUUAACCACAUCCACACUCUACAUCACCUUUCCACGUUACCCCCCUCUCUCUGUACACCCCCCUCUCUCUGUACAUUAAAAAGAAACGAAAAAGAAAACAAAGAAAAGGGCACAGGCUACCUCCUCAAAAAAACACCUCACAUUCUUUAACGACUCUCACCCUCUCAAAAGACACUCCCUGCUAAGUUCCUUCCCACUUUCAACUCAACCCCCAAAAUCUGCUUCUCAUCCCCACCAUCGCUACCACUUACCGCCGCGUUUAAGCGUCAUACCACACUCGCCGAUCCGUCGCUGCAAACGAAUCCUCAACUACCAGGCGAUCCACUCACCAUCACCGUUCCAUCACCGAAGGAACACCACAAACCCGUCCACAUCCGCCGUCCACCGCCACAAAAACCUCACUGCAGAAUGGCCAGAUUCCUCCACUACGUCGCCGCACUAAAUCCACCUCUCGCUAACCCUCAAGUUUCCGACAGUUUUCUUCAACUCCACCUAUAACAACCAAUAACCUUCCGCCGACACCUCCGGUAAUGCCACUCCCCAGCCGCCGUGACGUUGAACUUUUCCCAAUCUUCACAUAGCCUCAAUACUGCUCAUCGCCAACACAAUAACGAUUAGUGAUUUGUUUUGUCUACGAGUCUAUUCAGAUCUUAUUCGAUUUCGGAACCACUGUAAAACAACAGGCUACCAGGAGGCAUCAAAGGAAAAUUUUGAAUCCCUUCAGCAGUAAUUACGGUAGCCGGCUCGUUGUCGGUAACCCUUUCAUUUUGAGUGUAAGCUUUAAUUUAUUGAACUGCACUAAUCUGAUAUUGCAUCGUGUAUUAGAUAAUCUCUGCGUUGAUAAUCAUACCUUUGUUGUGUUUAUUACUUACUCUGUGGAAAUACCAUGAUAAUAAUCUUUGAUUUUGCAUUGUUGUGUACAGUGUGAGAUUGAGUUUUAAGAUUCAGGACAUUUCAUUUAUGGAGUAUAUAAGGAAAGUUGCAUCAAUUCUGGAAUAAUACAAACAGUUUGGUAUUGGUUUGUCGUGUUUCGAUCACGUAUGAAUCGGGAGGUAUUAUCAACAUUGUUGGACUGAAAUUUAAGGGAGCUGUUUGGAUAUAAACCGUUAUAGGACCAAAGUGUCGAUACGUAUGUUUUAAUAUUGCAUUUGCCGGUUAUGGAUCGGGAUCCAAAUGCAUUUUAUUUGUGUUUAGUUUAAAGGCUGCAUUUUUUUUACACUGAUGCGUUCAUGAAUACAUGCAUAUGAGGUUGCCGGUGUUUAUCAGUGUUUGGUUUAAUUUUUUUUUACACAGUAUAUUGUUAUUAACUCAUGAGCAUUGUGGGAAGUGAGUUGCCUCUUAGUCAAGUGUGGCGGAUUCAUUUUCUUUCAUUUAAACAUUGAUAUCAUUAGUGUUAAUUGUCACUUUAUUUCUAUUAAUUAUCCUAGCAUUGCUUGUUCUAAUUGAUAUGGAUUUGUUCACAGUAGUAUAUAUUCAUCUUGUCCACUGCAUGUUUGGUUUUGACUAUCAAAAGUUAAAUUAUAUUAUUA